CCUACGGGGCGCACCAGUAGGGAAUCUUCCGCAAUGGACGAAAGUCUGACGGAGCAACGCCGCGUGAGUGAUGAAGGCUUUCGGGUCGUAAAGCUCUGUUGCCAGGGAAGAACGCUUGGGAGAGUAACUGCUCUCAAGGUGACGGUACCUGAGAAGAAAGCCCCGGCUAACUACGUGCCAGCAGCCGCGGUAAUACGUAGGGGGCAAGCGUUGUCCGGAAUUAUUGGGCGUAAAGCGCGCGCAGGCGGCUUUGUAUGUCUGUCGUUUAAGUUCGGGGCUCAACCCCGUAUCGCGAUGGAAACUGCAAGGCUUGAGUACAGAAGAGGAAAGUGGAAUUCCACGUGUAGCGGUGAAAUGCGUAGAGAUGUGGAGGAACACCAGUGGCGAAGGCGACUUUCUGGGCUGUAACUGACGCUGAGGCGCGAAAGCGUGGGGAGCAAACAGGAUUAGAUACCCUCGUAGUC
rnacentral:rRNA from 1 species